rnacentral:lncRNA from 1 species
GCAAACCAGAAAUUGAAGCAGACGGAGCAUGUCUUCCACAGUGUCAGGCAAGGGAGUUGGCUUGCGGAGAGUCAGCCCGGACAUACUGGGAGAGCAGGUGACAGAAGAAGCCCACCUUGGCUCAGUGAGGCUGACAGCCUAACUCCUCUGUGAGCUGCUUUCCACAUGGAUAUGAGUGAGGGGCAAUGUGGCCUGCUGCUUGGGGCCAUCUGGGUUGGAACCCCAGCACGUACUCCCCAGCCCUCCAACUUUGGAUGAGUCACAAACCUCUCAACCUUGGUCUCCUGCUGUGUCCAAGACCCAGCCCUCCUCUGUGUAAGGCUCACUCCUAGGCCACGUGGAUACAGCAGAACCAGGGCCAACCAAGUUCCACUCUCAAGGCGUUUACACUGUGGUGGGAAAGUCAGGAUAUGAAGAACAGGAGUCCUGAUCUGGAACAAAUAAUCCUAAAAUUUGUAUGGAACCAGAAAAGAUCCCAAAUAGUCAAAGGAAUGUUGAAAAAGGAAACCAAAACUGGUGGCAUCACAAUAUUCACAAUAUUGGACUUCAAGUUCUAUUACAAAGGCAUAAUCAUCAAGACAAUAUGAUACUUGCACAAAAACAGACACACAGAUAAAUGGAACAGAAAAGAGAACCCAGAAAUGGACCCUCAACUCUAUGAUAAACUAGUCUUUGACAAAGGAGGAAAGUGUAUCCAAUGGAAAAAAAAAGUCUCUUCAAAACACGGUGUUGGGAAAAUUGGACAGCCACAUGCAGAAAAAUGAAAUGGGACCAUUUCCUCACACCAUGCACAAAAAGAGACUCGAAAUGGAUGAAAAACCUAAAUGUGAGAUAGGAAUCCAUCAAAGUCCUAGAGGAGAACACAGGCAGCAAUCUCUGUGACCUCAGUUGCAGCAAAUUCUUGCUGAACACAUCUCCAAAGGCAAAGGAAACAAAGGCAAAAAUCAAUCAUUGGGACUUCAUUAGGAUAAAAAGCUUUUGCACAACAAAGGAAAUAGUCAACAAAACUGAAAGACAGCUGACAGAAUGGGAGAAGAUAUUUGUAAAUGUCUUAUCAGAUAAAGGGCUGGUAUCCAAAAUCUGUAAAGAACUUAUCAAGCUCAACACCCAAAGACUAAAUAAUCUAAUCAAGAAAUAGGCAGAAGACAUGAACAGACACUUCUCCAAAGAAAACAAAAAAAUGGCCAACAGACACAUGAAAAAGUGCUCAACAUCUCUUGGCGUCAGGGAAAUACAAAUCAAAACCACAAUGAGAUAUGACCUCAUACCAGUCAGAAUGGCUAAAAUUGACAAGUCAGAAAAUGAGAGAUGUUGGUGAGGAUGCAGAGAAAGGGGAAUCUUUCCCUGUACACUGUUGGUGGGAAUGCAAGCUUGUGCAUGGAAGUUCUUCAAAAAGUUAAAAUAGAGCUAUCCUAUGACCCAGCAAUUGCACUAAAGACACAAAUGUGGUGAUCCAAAGGGGCACUUGCACCCCAAUAUUUAUGGCAGCAAUGUCCACAAUACCCAAACUAUGGAAAGAGCCCAGAUGUCUACUGACAGAUGACUGCAUAAAGAAGAUGUGCUGUAUAUAUACAAUGGAAUAUUACUCAGCCAUCAAAAAUGUAAUCUUACCAUUUGCAAUGACACGGAUAGAGGGUAUUAUGCUAAGCAAAAUAAGUCAAUCAGAGAAAGACAAUUAUCAUAUAAUCUCACUUGUAUGUGGAAUUUAAGAAACAAAACAGAGGAGCGUGGGGAAGGGAAGAAAAAAAUAAAAACAAGACAAAAUCAGAGAAGGAGACAAACCAUAAGAGACUUUUUUUUAAAGAUUUUAUUUAUUAUUCAUGAGAGACACACAGAGAGGGAGAGGCAGAGACACAGGCAGAGGGAGAAGCAGGCUCCAUGCAGGAAACCCGAUGUGGGACUCAAUCCCAGGACUCCAGGAUCACACCCUGAGCCAAAGGCAGACACUUAACUGCUGAGCCACCCAGGUGUCCCAAAUUUAAAUCUUUAAAAAAAGGGGGGGGGGGAUUCCAACACAUAAAAAAAGAAUAGGCAGGACUAAACUAUUUAGAAUAGGGUUACAUAGUGGAUGAUAAAACAAUACACCUUUCAAGCCAUAGGUGGGAACUUGAUCACACCCCUACUUCCUUCCAAGAAACCAAGUUAGAGCCAGGGCUCAAAGUGUCCUUCCAUCUCACACUCACUUCUAGUGGACUAGAAUUUGAAGAGGACACAGUGACAGGAAUUCUGUGUCUUGAUGCCUUUUACUGCAGCCAGUAGACCACAGCCAAUACCUGACAGACUCCUUUCUGCUAGGAACUUCUCGUUUUUGGAAGGAGACACUAGAUAACAGUGAAAAAUUCUCAAGUGGCCAAAUAUACAUAUAAUUGGAGUCCCUACAACAAAGGAUAAAGAAAAAUGGAAUAUUUUUAAAAACCUUGAAGAAAUUACAGCCAGUAGUAGCUUUUCAAAUCUGAUUUUAGAAGAGCAAAAUAAGGGAUGCCUGGGUGGCUCAGCAGUUGAGCAUCUGCCUUUGACUCAGGGCAUGAUUCCAGGGUCCUGGGAUUGAGUCCUGCAUUGGGAUACCUGCAGGGAUCCUGCUUCUCCCCUCUGCCUCUGCCUCUGCCUCUCUGUCUGUGUCUCUCAUGAAUAAAUAAAUAAAAUCUUUUAAAAAA